AUUGAACGCUGGCGGCAGGCCUAACACAUGCAAGUCGAGCGGAGCGGCGGACGGGUGCGUAAUGCUUAGGAAUCUGCCUGGUCGUUGGGGAGAACGUCCGGAAACGGGCGCUAAUACCGCAUACUAUCAGAUGAGCCUAUGUCGGAUUAGCUAGUUGUUGGGGUAAAGGCCUACCAACGCGACGACCCGUAACUGGUCUGAGAGGAUGAUCAGUCAGACGGGAACUGAGACACGGUCCAGACUCCGACGGGAGGCAGAAGUGGGGAAUAUUGGACAAUGGGUGAAAGCCUGAUGCAGCCAUGCCGCGUGUGUGAAGAAGGUCUUAGGAUUGUAAAGCACUUUAAGUUGGGAGGCGUUACCAGCAGAAUAAGCACCGGCUAACUUCGUGCCAGCAGCCGCGGUAAUUC
rnacentral:rRNA from 1 species